CCGUGAAACACCUCCCGAGCUUGUCCUGCCUGUUAAUAUCCAGGCACCAAAAGCCAUUUAAGUGUGGAUCCAAGUUAAUUUUCCCUUGGGUUCUAUGGUGUUAUAAGCCAAUUUCUUUUUUCAUUGGGCUGAUCAAACAAGAAAAUACCUACGUUUCAUUCUCAAUAAUUAAGGUCAGGCCGAACCAUCAAAUACUUAAUCCAGGUUUGCAGCUCUUGCAUUUACUGUGCUGAUCAUAUUACCAGUCAGAAGCUUUGAUUGUGGAUCAAGUACCAAUUGUACCGUAGAGCAGAUAAUUGUUAUUUUCCCCCAAAUAAUCAAAUUUGAAGCCAGCAGAGUUUACUUGUCAAAACUCAUUUUUCCUCGUGAAUAAAUAGUGGUUCCUUUUUCUUUUAAACAAAGGUUUAAGCAGG
rnacentral:misc_RNA from 1 species